rnacentral:lncRNA from 1 species
GCAAUUUCAACAAAGCAAGACCAGGAGGCAUGUCGGGCCUGUUUCCAUAAUAAAUCACAGAAUAGUCCUAAGUCACACCAGCCCCAAGAUCAAAACAACUGGUGGACUUCCUUGAUAUUUAUAACCAGUACGACAUAAUAUUACAUCGGGUUGAGCCAGGGUGCUCCACUAUUUAUUACAAAUUUGCAAUAUAUGGUGGUGGCGGUAUAUGACAGUGGUUUGAUGGUAGUACAACACCGAUACAAUAAAAUAGAGCCAAGCAUCAGAGUGAGGCUUGACUAUUUUAUUUGGGAAGCGAAAGCACAGCGGAUGAUACAUGUGGUAGACUCCAAGACCACGGUUGACUAACCAGGAACAACUCUAAGCGUCGGGCUCGCUAGCGCAACCUUCCUCCACAAGCUCGUCCUCCUCCAGGACUGGCCAAAUUAACAAGCCAGGGACAAGCCUGUGAGUAUGUUGGAAUGUACUCUCAAACAUUAUGAACAAAAGAUAUACCAAAUGCAUAUGCUCAUGAUGGGAUAUAUUAAAUGCAUGUGCUGACCGAAAAUACGUUACGGCAUGAUAAACAUUAGCAUGUGUUGAAGAAUGAGUAUAGAAAUUUUAGUGACAGACAAAGAAAGUUAACGGAACAUCGGGCAUUGGACCGCCCGAGAAAUUCCAACAAGAAUGCCAAACGUGUGUCUAAAAGCACAUCUCGAGAGGUCUUGAAAAGAAAUGCCAAACGGGUGUCUAGAAGCGACGCCUCAAGAUGUCUUGAAAAGAAAGCUGAGUAUCCGGAUAGUCUAACCAUCCCAAGUGAUACUCAGAAAAGAAAAGAAAAUUGAGUGCAUGGGUAGUUUGGCCAUCCCAAGUGACACUCCGUAAAAUUGAAUAAGAGAAACGGGUUAGUCCAUAAUUACAAUAACAUGUAUAGCACUAAUAUUCAUGAUAACAAAGAUCUUCAUGAUAGCAUCAGUGGUGACAAUAAUUAUCCUACAAAAUGAAUCAUGCUCAGUUUAAUUAUUUCCUUCAAAGACCGCCACCGAGACCGAUACUUGACCCUUCCCAACUAACAUUGACCGUGGACACGACUAUUCGAAUAGAUGUAACUUUGUAGAGGUUGUACUCUUUACCCACAUGUAUGGGAUUUCUGUAGCCAACACCUAGGCACUAACUAAUUCCCAUUACGGUCUUUGGGUUGAAAACACACCUGACCAACACACACCAAAAUAACUUCCCGGAUGCCAGGAAUCACCCAAAGCAUCUUUCAAGAGAACUCUAAGUCGGGGAGACCAUCGGCUCGAAUAGCAUGGGAUCACUAUUAAUACGCGCGGAUUACAAGGGGUGCCCCCCUAUCGGCCCAGCCGGAUACACCCAUGCCCCUGACCCGAUGACUGGCAUUAGACCAUGGCUGUGGAACCCUCAUCGUGGCCUCUCUAAGUGGUGUGUACCCAAAAAGGGGUUAACAACUUACUAAAUCGCACUCCCCUCGCGGGAAGACAAGUGACAGCACGGUAUUUAGCUAGGCUUGACGGAACAAGACUCGAUCUAGGUUGACUUAGGAGGUUUGUUAUUAUGGCUGGCAUGUCUCACAUGCCAUGGUGAUACUGUCGUGUCAUAACGCGGCUCGUGCCCACCGGCACGUCCAAGGUAGGAAAUACACUCUAGGAUUCUCACCAUAUCCACACGUUAGCAAGUUUUUUGGUGUAUGCAAUAGUGCGCAAAAUGACAUGCAAUAGUGCUCAAAAUGACAUGACUAGUGCAUGCUUUCACUAUUACAGCUAUAUGGUGCAAUUUCAUUCGAUGCAAUCAUGCAUGCAAUUCACCAUAUCCCAAGUUCAAAAAUGUUUGCCUUGAUCAAAGUAGUCGGAAAGUGGUUCCUCGAAUUUCCCGGUAAAGCCCCCCUCUUCGUUUUCUGGAAAACGUCCAAAUUCAAUUUUUUUCAACAGUGCAAAAAGUUGUGUCAAAAUAUUUUUUAUUAAGUACUAAAAAAAUAGAGUGAAAAUAAGAAUUUCAGAAAAAGAAUCAACUGAAAAUGAUUUGUGGUUUAAAAGUUAUUAAGGUUUUAAAAUCAGGGACCUCUCUAUAAAUAAAAUAACUGCCAGCGGGUCCCUGCGGUAAUAACUAAAGCGCGUUAGAAGGAAAUACGCUUUCCUGUGCAAAAAGCGUGAAGAGGCAGAAGGUGCUUUCGAGUAUAACAGAAAAGAAUAAAACGCUGACGGGUGGGCCCUACCCAUGAUCGUGCGCGCGUACGGAGGGGGUGCAGUGGUCACCGGCGGCGAUCGCCGGCGUUUCAGGAGGUGGCAAUGGCUGGGAUGUGCUCGGGGUGGCACCCCACAUCAGUGGGUGGUGGUGGUUGUCGCUGGCGAGCACCAGAAUGAUGGCGAGGUCGUUUCCGGCGGACGGUGGCGUCGGGUGGUGGCGGAUCCCGCCGAAGAGGGCUCCGGUUGACGAAUUGAGGCGCGGGAUCGACUACAUGGUGGACUAGACGACUACUUACGAUGUUUUGGUGGCGAAGAUGGCCUAACGGCGACGAGAGGUUCUCGGGUACCGCGGCGGAACGGAGCCGGAAGUGGAGAAGAAGACCUUCUCGAGGUCGAGGGAGUGUGCGAGAGGUCGAUUGGGAUGAUGAUGGAGUGGUGUGAGUGAUGAAUGAAGCUCGGGUAGGCCUUUUAUAGGCAGUCCGAGGAGGUCUAGUGAGGGGCGGACCACGCCAGAGUUAAUCCAUCUGAUGAGGUAGGUUUGGUCGACG